GCCCUGAUUCCAAAUGAUGUGACGUCAUUGCGUCCUUAAUGACAAUGGUGAACAAUGGCGGUGUUGUAAUUGAACUUUUUUCUCCUCUCUGCAAAACUUAAAUAUGUGAUAAAUAGAUUGUGGCAUGUCUUUUCCAUGUUGGCCCUGGUGUCAUCCCUCGACCGAUAUCGGCCCUCGGCUAAAGCCUUGAGGCCGAUAUGGGAAUCUUGUGAUGAUGCCAGGGCCAAUAUGGAAAAAAACAUGUUAUAGUCUAUACAUAUAUUAUAU
rnacentral:lncRNA from 1 species